rnacentral:rRNA from 2 species
UGGGGAAUAUUGCACAAUGGAGGGAACUCUGAUGCAGCGACGCCGCGUGAACGAAGAAGGCUUUCGAGUCGUAAAGUUCUUUUAUAUGGGAAGAUAAUGACGGUACCAUAAGAAAAAGCCCCGGCUAACUACGUGCCAGCAGCCGCGGUAAUACGUAGGGGGCUAGCGUUGUCCGGAAUCACUGGGCGUAAAGGGUUCGCAGGCGGAAAUGCAAGUCAGGUGUAAAAGGCAGUAGCUUAACUACUGUAAGCAUUUGAAACUGCAUAUCUUGAGAAGAGUAGAGGUAAGUGGAAUUGUUAGUGUAGCGGUGAAAUGCGUAGAUAUUAAAAAGAAUACCGGUGGCGAAGGCGACUUACUGGGCUCAUUCUGACGCUGAGGAACGAAAGCGUGGGUAGCAAACAGG